UAAUAAAGGCAGUUACAAAUUCUGUACGGGAAUGAGGAUUAUUUAUAAGACUGAAAUUAUUGUAUUAUUUGCUGGAAAUGUGGAAUAUGAGGAAUUUAAAGCCAUCCGUGAGUAGUUUUUGAUGAUUCAGCUGGAAAUUAUACAGUUUGCUCCCACCUCAAAACAGUACAUGGUAUAUCAUGGACACCAAACGCAAAGAAACAUCUAAAUGCCAUAAUUUUGGGCAUCUUGAAAACUGGAAAGGCGGAUCACUUUGAAGCAGAUGAUAGUUAUAGUGUAUAAAAGAAUUCUUUGCGACAGUUAUACCAGUUGGAACAGGUAAUAGUUUAAAUUAUGGAAGUUUGAAAUUAUUUCUGGAAUAAAUUGAUACAAAAAGGUAUCAAUCAAAACUGGGACUACAUUUUUGUAUUAUACUACAUGUAGUAUGAAAAAAGUCCCAGAUCAAAGCAUUCAGAAGAUUAAAUGAAUUUUACUAAACAUACUUUUCAAAAUGUCUUUAUUAAAUUGAAUUAAAAUCAAAUUAUUGUGUGAAUUUUCUAGACACAUUGUUGUUUGAUGCUGCUUUAUUUUGAAAACUAGAAUUCAUUUACCAAUUACAAUUUUUCCCCAACUGACAAUCAUGAGGGCCUGUUUAAUAAUCUCAAUAAAUCCCCCCUUUCCCCAUAUUUUUAGUUACAAUGUGAAAUUAUUAUCUGCAAAUUUAUGAUCUGUGCUGAAUGCAAUUUUAUACAAUUUUAUUCAUCAUGUUCAAACAUUAUUCAUUUGUUAUUUGAAUAGGAUAAUAAUAUAGAAUAAAAAAAAUAAAAUAUCAGACUCAAAAGUUACAAAAAAAAAGAAGAUGUGGUAUGAUCAUGAUGAUUGCCAAUGAGAAAAUCACAUGUACAACAACAUGUAUCCUCCAUAUACACAACAGACCAUGCCACCUUAUUUAUUAUGUUUAUCAUGUUUAUCAUUAAUAUAUGUAUGUACAUGUAUGUACAUUUUUUUGUACAUGUACAAAAUGAAUGUACAUCAUGUACAUGUAAGCAACUACAAAUGAAUACAUUUGUAUAUAUACAUGUAGAAUAGAUACAUGUAUAAAAAGAUGUGGUAUGAGUGUCAAUGAUACAACUCUCCAUCCAAGUCACAAUUUAUAAAAGAAAAGACAAUCCUAUAGUUAUUAGGAUAGUCAUAUAUGUUUAUGUCAGAUAUACAUGUAAACAGUAAGCUUAAUUUGUUAAAAAGCAGGAGCAAAUUGUUGCUUGUUAAAUUAUGAGAGUCAAAUUUAAAUUUUCUGUAAUUUUGAUUCCUGCAUAUACAAUGUACCUAUAUUUUUCAUGACCUUAUGACAUAUGAAAGACACAUAUAUUGUAAAGUGAUUAUUGCAUAUAUAUUUAUUUAAAAAAAUAAAACUUGUAUAUCAAAUCUUAAGAUAAUUAGAUUCUUAAUCCACUAUUUAGAUGGGAUCUUUUGGGAUGGCAAUACCUUUGUUUCAUAAAUUUGUUGUUUAUUGUCCUUCAUCAUGUUCAUGUCCUUAGAAACUAAAUCUAGACAUAUGAUAUGGUCCGAGAACACAAUUAUUUCGUAGUGCAUUUCUUUUAGAACAUAAAUGAAAAUAAAAAAAAUCCCACCUGCGCUCUCAAAGAAACUUUUACAGUAUGUUGUACUACUUUUGGGACAAAUUAUAUCAAAAUUAUAGAAAACUUCAUCGCCUCUAACUCAAAAUAUGGACAAUUUUAUGUUUAGGGCGUCUUGAAAUCUUUUGACAGCUUCCGAAGUACUAGUUUUCAACCUUUUUCAGCUGGACCAAAUCACUACUUUCCUUUAAAAUUCUGGACCCAAAUUUUUUUACAGUGUAAUUUCACCCCCUACUUGCAAUUUGAGACAUUAAACAUGGAGAAAUAAAUUUGGAAGGGGUAUAAAAAUUAAUGGCAAGUAACCAACUGUCAACACUAGGGACUAUAUUCGUAAUUAAAAAAAUAGCUCAUUUUGAGAUCUUGUCAUUAGUAUUUAGAUACAUCAUUGUACCUUUGUACAUGUACAUUUAUGAUCAUGGUGAGCAUAUAAGAUUAAUUUGACUCAAAUAUAUCAAGUAAACUUGUAAAGUAAUAAGUAAAUUACAAUUUACCUUUCUGCUCUAAAGUGUUCAUUUAGAUCAUUUUGUACAUUAACCUGUCCAUUUAAAAAUAGAAUUAAUCAUACAAAAAAGUCUUGUAACUUUGAAAUGUUGAAUAAGUUUUCUAUGUUUUAAUGUAAUACGAUGCUAACAGAUCAUUAUAUAUUUUCCACCGGUUCUUAAGAUAAGAAAAUAACUAAUUUAAUAUUAAAUACAAUUUUCCAAAUUCAAUUCAAAGAAUAAUUGAUCACCUUAUAAUCUGUUAUUUCUUUAAACAGAUAAAAGAUACAUCAGAUGACAGCCUUACAUGUAGAGGAGCCUUUAAUUAGAGAAAUGGAUCACCUUGAUUUUGAAGUUAACCUACUGCAUUUAUAUGAAAAUUCAAAAGUGAGUACCAGUAUCUCUUAAAGUACAUUUUUACAUGUUUAUCUUUAUUUAGAUAAAGUACCAUAUAAGAUAAAGUAUGUGGAAUCUUAAAUCCAGUAUAUAUACCAGACAUUACAUCAGUACAUACAUAAUGCAAAUCAGAAUAAGAAGGCAUAACAAUUGAACUGUUAAACAUUAUUAGAUGACCAGUGUCACCUUAAUUUAAGAAAAAAUGAAAACACAGAUAACACACAGACAAAAAUUAAUGAGACCAUGUACUCCAGAUAUGCAAGAAGGGUUUUAAUCUCCCACUACAAAUGUAUAUACUUAUAUAUCUUUAUUCUCAAUAAACCAUAUACAUAGGUAUAGAGAAGACAUGCAAUUAUGUACAAUAUUUACAACAAGACAGAACAAACAAAAUAGUUGCUAAGACAAUAUAUGAAGUCCAUUUUAGCCAGGAGCACAUACACCUGUGUUAAUAAUCUUUAUGAAUUUACAUAAUUUAAUCAAUACUGAUUUGUUUUUUGAAGACAUAAUCUGUUUGUAUUUGACAAUAUUUGCAUUUUUAAAAUAAUAUAUGAAGUCCUGAAUGUAAAAUCCUCUAAAAAUUAUAUUAAACUUCAAAUAUGUGUACUUGAAUACAUGUAUAUAUAAUAUUCAAAUUCAUCUUAUUUAAGAUAAUAAAUUUAAAACAUUUUCAAGCAAAAAACUGAUGUAUAAAUGUAUAGCUUGACUGUUCCUUUAUUUUUUUCAGGUGACUGAGCUAAAAGAAAAACACACAUGAAACUGUAACCAGUUUGGGACCAUCAAAGUGACCAACAGAACAUUUGAAUACCUUUAAAGUUUUUUGUGUAUAUGUUUGACUUUUGGUAAUAUUUCAGCAGUUUCUUCAGUAAAUGAGAGACCUCAAUGUUGAAAAUGACAAUUUUGAUAGAGGACAAUUUUAAGACUAUCAACUUUAUUGUUUAUGGAAAUUAUCUUUUAAAAUAUUACUGGAUGUCUAAAAGAAUAUUUCAUUUUUUUCUGAAACUAUUUAGAUAUUUAUUAUGUUUCAUGUGUUUAUAGGCAAAUAUUUAUAUAUGUCAUUUAUGUUAAGCAAGGGUUUAUAUCUUGUAUAUGAAUUAAAAAAAGAUGUAUAUGGUUGAACUUGAUAAAACAAAUUAUUACAGAGUAACAGAAAAUGGGAUCAAUGUAUAUUAAAACAAAUCUGUUAAAAGGAAAAAAAAGUC
rnacentral:lncRNA from 1 species